AAGACCAUACUUUCAAGGAUCAUUUCUACAGUUUGUUACUAGACAAGCUUCUCUGAAUGUGUAGAGAGCACAGGAAACUACCAGGAGGAGGCACAGCAUUCUCUCCUGAGCGUGAAGCUGGUUCUUGAUGUUGCUUCUGUGAACGCCAUUCACCAUUGAUACUGGUUGGUUCUUCUCUUCCUUUGAGAGAGCAAGAGGGAGAGGUGCAGUCUGAGCA
rnacentral:snoRNA from 1 species